GGCGCAGGCGGUUAAGUCAGUCUAAAGUGGAAGCCCGGGGCUCAACCUCGGAAAGCCUUUAGAUACUGCUUAACUCGAGUACGUGAGAGGAAGGCGGAAUUCAAGGUGUAGCGGUGAAAUGCUUAGAUAUCUUGAGGAACACCAAUGGCGAAAGCAGCCUUCUGGCACGAAACUGACGCUGAGGCCCGAAAGCGUGGGGAGCGAACA
rnacentral:rRNA from 1 species